UUAAGUUAUUAAGGGCGCACGGUGGAUGCCUUGGCACUAGAAGCCGAUGAAGGACGUUACUAACGACGAUAUGCUUUGGGGAGCUGUAAGUAAGCUUUGAUCCAGAGAUUUCCGAAUGGGGAAACCCAGCAUGAGUUAUGUCAUGUUAUCGAUAUGUGAAUACAUAGCAUAUCAGAAGGCACACCCGGAGAACUGAAACAUCUUAGUACCCGGAGGAAGAGAAAGAAAAUUCGAUUCCCUUAGUAGCGGCGAGCGAAACGGGAAGAGCCCAAACCAACAAGCUUGCUUGUUGGGGUUGUAGGACACUCUAUACGGAGUUACAAAGGACGACAUUAGACGAAUCAUCUGGAAAGAUGAAUCAAAGAAGGUAAUAAUCCUGUAGUCGAAAAUGUUGUCUCUCUUGAGUGGAUCCUGAGUACGACGGAGCACGUGAAAUUCCGUCGGAAUCUGGGAGGACCAUCUCCUAAGGCUAAAUACUCUCUAGUGACCGAUAGUGAACCAGUACCGUGAGGGAAAGGUGAAAAGCACCCCGGAAGGGGAGUGAAAUAGAACCUGAAACCGUGUGCUUACAAGUAGUCAGAGCCCGUUAAUGGGUGAUGGCGUGCCUUUUGUAGAAUGAACCGGCGAGUUACGAUUUGAUGCAAGGUUAAGCAGUAAAUGUGGAGCCGUAGCGAAAGCGAGUCUGAAUAGGGCGUUUAGUAUUUGGUCGUAGACCCGAAACCAGGUGAUCUACCCUUGGUCAGGUUGAAGUUCAGGUAACACUGAAUGGAGGACCGAACCGACUUACGUUGAAAAGUGAGCGGAUGAACUGAGGGUAGCGGAGAAAUUCCAAUCGAACCUGGAGAUAGCUGGUUCUCUCCGAAAUAGCUUUAGGGCUAGCCUCAAGUGAUGAUUAUUGGAGGUAGAGCACUGUUUGGACGAGGGGCCCCUCUCGGGUUACCGAAUUCAGACAAACUCCGAAUGCCAAUUAAUUUAACUUGGGAGUCAGAACAUGGGUGAUAAGGUCCGUGUUCGAAAGGGAAACAGCCCAGACCACCAGCUAAGGUCCCAAAAUAUAUGUUAAGUGGAAAAGGAUGUGGCGUUGCCCAGACAACUAGGAUGUUGGCUUAGAAGCAGCCAUCAUUUAAAGAGUGCGUAAUAGCUCACUAGUCGAGUGACACUGCGCCGAAAAUGUACCGGGGCUAAACAUAUUACCGAAGCUGUGGAUUGUCCUUUGGACAAUGGUAGGAGAGCGUUCUAAGGGCGUUGAAGCAUGAUCGUAAGGACAUGUGGAGCGCUUAGAAGUGAGAAUGCCGGUGUGAGUAGCGAAAGACGGGUGAGAAUCCCGUCCACCGAUUGACUAAGGUUUCCAGAGGAAGGCUCGUCCGCUCUGGGUUAGUCGGGUCCUAAGCUGAGGCCGACAGGCGUAGGCGAUGGAUAACAGGUUGAUAUUCCUGUACCACCUAUAAUCGUUUUAAUCGAUGGGGGGACGCAGUAGGAUAGGCGAAGCGUGCGAUUGGAUUGCACGUCUAAGCAGUAAGGCUGAGUAUUAGGCAAAUCCGGUACUCGUUAAGGCUGAGCUGUGAUGGGGAGAAGACAUUGUGUCUUCGAGUCGUUGAUUUCACACUGCCGAGAAAAGCCUCUAGAUAGAAAAUAGGUGCCCGUACCGCAAACCGACACAGGUAGUCAAGAUGAGAAUUCUAAGGUGAGCGAGCGAACUCUCGUUAAGGAACUCGGCAAAAUGACCCCGUAACUUCGGGAGAAGGGGUGCUCUUUAGGGUUAACGCCCAGAAGAGCCGCAGUGAAUAGGCCCAAGCGACUGUUUAUCAAAAACACAGGUCUCUGCUAAACCGUAAGGUGAUGUAUAGGGGCUGACGCCUGCCCGGUGCUGGAAGGUUAAGAGGAGUGGUUAGCUUCUGCGAAGCUACGAAUCGAAGCCCCAGUAAACGGCGGCCGUAACUAUAACGGUCCUAAGGUAGCGAAAUUCCUUGUCGGGUAAGUUCCGACCCGCACGAAAGGCGUAACGAUUUGGGCACUGUCUCAACGAGAGACUCGGUGAAAUCAUAGUACCUGUGAAGAUGCAGGUUACCCGCGACAGGACGGAAAGACCCCGUGGAGCUUUACUGUAGCCUGAUAUUGAAAUUCGGCACAGCUUGUACAGGAUAGGUAGGAGCCUUUGAAACGUGAGCGCUAGCUUACGUGGAGGCGCUGGUGGGAUACUACCCUAGCUGUGUUGGCUUUCUAACCCGCACNNNNNNNNNNNNNNNNNNACUUAUCGUGGUGGGAGACAGUGUCAGGCGGGCAGUUUGACUGGGGCGGUCGCCUCCUAAAAGGUAACGGAGGCGCUCAAAGGUUCCCUCAGAAUGGUUGGAAAUCAUUCAUAGAGUGUAAAGGCAUAAGGGAGCUUGACUGCGAGACCUACAAGUCGAGCAGGGUCGAAAGACGGACUUAGUGAUCCGGUGGUUCCGCAUGGAAGGGCCAUCGCUCAACGGAUAAAAGCUACCCCGGGGAUAACAGGCUUAUCUCCCCCAAGAGUUCACAUCGACGGGGAGGUUUGGCACCUCGAUGUCGGCUCAUCGCAUCCUGGGGCUGUAGUCGGUCCCAAGGGUUGGGCUGUUCGCCCAUUAAAGCGGUACGCGAGCUGGGUUCAGAACGUCGUGAGACAGUUCGGUCCCUAUCCGUCGUGGGCGUAGGAAAUUUGAGAGGAGCUGUCCUUAGUACGAGAGGACCGGGAUGGACAUACCUCUGGUGUACCAGUUGUCGUGCCAACGGCAUAGCUGGGUAGCUAUGUGUGGACGGGAUAAGUGCUGAAAGCAUCUAAGCAUGAAGCCCCCCUCAAGAUGAGAUUUCCCAACUUCGGUUAUAAGAUCCCUCAAAGAUGAUGAGGUUAAUAGGUUCGAGGUGGAAGCAUGGUGACAUGUGGAGCUGACGAAUACUAAUCGAUCGAAGACUUAAUCAA
rnacentral:rRNA from 1 species